UGUUACCACGACGCAAUCGAAACAGAGGAGAUUUGCGAACCCUCGUUCGCCUGCUCUCGGCGGCUGUCUGUGCUACCCACGGCGCCGCAAUGGCAGAGGAGGGGCUGGAGUGCUGGUUGGAUCCCGUCGACCUAUUUUGCGAUCUUGCAGGUUUCCAUUGAGGGAAGAAUUUGCGGGCAGCCUCGGGCGCCCCGGAUCCGGUGCCCCUAGUCCUGCUGCCGAGAUGCGUUGCGGGCGCCGCUACGGCGGCUGAUUCGAAUGUCGGGUCUGGAUGUGAGCAAGCUGAUGGUGCCUGCAGCCCUACGUGGGCUGGAGGAGAGGGGCGACGGAGAAGGGAUGUAUCUCCAACCAGGUCCGCACAGUCGACUGACAGAGUCAAUCCUGAAGCACCUGGCUGGACUAAAAGGUAUUAAUCCGCUGUUUGGUUUAACUUGCGCAUCUAGAACUGGAAGGAUUUUUCUUUAAAUAAAGAAUGAAUGGAUAAAUACAAUCUGAGGAAGCACCCAUACAUGACCCGGAUAUAUGAAAUCAGAACUAAGUGGGCUAAGCCGUACUUAAAGGGUGUGUUCUGCGCUAAAAUGACGAGCAUCCAACGAAGCGAGAGUUACAUGUCACCUGUUAGCCCGAUGCACUUUUUUGUUAGACAAAAUAUGAGGCUCCAGUUUAACCGUGAGAGGAAGGAAACAAUGAAGAGAAGAGAACUAUGAUAAGAGGUGUCGUGCGGAGAACAAAUCUCACAAUAGAGCGGCACCCAAGCUAAAUGUACAGUGCGUGCUAUGUUCGAGCAAUUUGGGCGGAUCUUAAUCUAAGGCUCUGCAUACAAUGUUAUAGAGGUUGAGAAGAUGAAGUAUGUAGCGAGGCACCGCAAUGCGUCAAACCGUAAGAAGUGGAGUCGAGUUGUUUAUGAGGUAACAAUCAAGGACUGCGGAUCU